rnacentral:rRNA from 1 species
GUCUCAGGCCGUAUCAGCCUGAAGGCGCCCGAUCUCGUCUGAUCUCGGAAGCUAAGCAGGGUCGGGCCUGGUUAGGAUCUUUGAUGGGAGACCACCUGGGAAUCCCGGGUGCUCGAGGCU